CCUACGGGGGAGCUGCAGUGGGGAAUAUUGGACAAUGGGCGAAAGCCUGAUCCAGCCAUGCCGCGUGUGUGAAGAAGGCCUUCGGGUUGUAAAGCACUUUCAGUGGGGAAGAAAGCCUUGGGGCUAAUACCCUCGAGGAAGGACAUCACCCACAGAAGAAGCACCGGCUAACUCCGUGCCAGCAGCCGCGGUAAUACGGAGGGUGCGAGCGUUAAUCGGAAUUACUGGGCGUAAAGCGCGCGUAGGCGGUCUGAUAAGCCGGUUGUGAAAGCCCCGGGCUCAACCUGGGAACGGCAUCCGGAACUGUCAGGCUAGAGUGCAGGAGAGGAAGGUAGAAUUCCCGGUGUAGCGGUGAAAUGCGUAGAGAUCGGGAGGAAUACCAGUGGCGAAGGCGGCCUUCUGGACUGACACUGACGCUGAGGUGCGAAAGCGUGGGUAGCAAACAGGAUUAGAUACCCUUGUAGUC
rnacentral:rRNA from 1 species